CGGCGNNUUUUCCGGUUUUNUCCNGCCGGACCCGACUGCUAUCGGGAUAAGGCUAAGCCAUGGGAGCCGAACGCCCUAUCACUAUAGGGCGUGACGCACGGCUGAGUAACACGUGGCUAACCUGCCCUAGGGACUGGGAUAACUCCGGGAAACUGGAGCUAAACCCGGAUAGGUGAGGAGUCCUGGAAUGGUUCCUCGCCCAAAGAGAUCUCAAGGGGUUAAUGCUUGAGAUCUGCCCUAGGAUGGGGCUACGUCCCAUCAUGGUUGUUGGCGGGGUAAUGGCCCGCCAAGCCAACGACGGGUAGGGGCCCUGAGAGGGGGAGCCCCCAGAUGGACCCUGAGACAAGGGUCCAGGCCCUACGGGGCGCACCAGGCGCGAAACCUCUGCAAUGUGGGAAACCGUGACAGGGUUAUCCCGAGUGCUCCCGUUAAGGGAGCUUUUCCUCACUGUAAGGAGGCGAGGGAAUAAGCGGGGGGCAAGACUGGUGUCAGCCGCCGCG
rnacentral:rRNA from 1 species